AUUGAACGCUGGCGGCAUGCCUUACACAUGCAAGUCGAACGGCAGCAUGGAGAGCUUGCUCUCUGAUGGCGAGUGGCGAACGGGUGAGUAAUGCAUCGGAACGUACCGUGUAAUGGGGGAUAACGUAGCGAAGGUUACGCUAAUACCGCAUACGACCUGAGGGUGAAAGCAGGGGAUCGCAAGACCUUGCGUUAUACGAGCGGCCGAUGUCAGAUUAGCUAGUUGGUGAGGAAAAGGCUCACCAAGGCGACGAUCUGUAGCGGGUCUGAGAGGAUGAUCCGCCACACUGGGACUGAGACACGGCCCAGACUCCUACGGGAGGCAGCAGUGGGGAAUUUUGGACAAUGGGGGCAACCCUGAUCCAGCCAUGCCGCGUGAGUGAAGAAGGCCUUCGGGUUGUAAAGCUCUUUCGGCCGGGAAGAAAUCGCACAGGCUAAUACUCUGUGUGGAUGACGGUACCGGCAUAAGAAGCACCGGCUAACCACGUGCCAGCCGCCGCAGUAA
rnacentral:rRNA from 1 species